rnacentral:lncRNA from 1 species
GGAGGUACUAGCCUCUGGAGAGGCCCCUCCUCUUGGAGAAGGCCUCCUGGCUAGAAUCCUGGUUUAAUCUACCUCUGGGCUCCCUUUGCUGGGGCCUCUGAAGCCCUGCCUGGUUCACACCAGGCCUGAGUAAUUAUCUACUUUCUCUCAUUUCCUUACUUUCCCUCUUUCCCUCUAUUUCAUAAAUAAAUUGCUAUAAAGUCAUUCUGACUUGAGUAAUAAUGUCGGCAACCACAUUUUUAUACAUUUAGUCCAACCAUUUUAUUUUAACCCUUACAAAGCAUAUGACAAAAUAUAUAGAAAGUUCUUUGCCAACCUAAAAGCACUCUAUAAAUGCUAGCUGUUCUUUUUUUCCAGUUUUUCUUUAUUUUUUUCAGUUACAUACAGAACUAUUUUUUGACAAUUGUUUUUGGACAUUUUAGAAUUCAGAUUUUCUCCCUCCUUCCCCUUAUCCCUCUCCAAGGUGAUGAGUAGUCUGAUAUGAAUGAGUUAUAUCCAUAUUUUUAUGUAAUGCAUAUUUCCAUAUUGUUCAUGUCACAUAUCACACAUGCAAUAGAAAUCUCAUGAAGGAAAUACAGUGGAAGAUGGCAUGCUUUGAGCUUCCUCAGACUCCAACAGUUCCUUGCUUGCAUGGCAUUUUCCUCAUGAGUCCCUUGCGGUUAUCUUGGAGGCUUGCUUUGCUGGCAGUGGUUUAGUCCUUCACAGUUGAUCAUCGAAUAAUAUUUCUGUCAUCAUAUAUAGUGUUCUCCUGGUUCUGCUCACUUUGCAUCAGUUCAUAGAGGUCUUUCCAGGCUUCUCCAAACUCUUCCUGCCCAUCAUUUCUUACAGCACAAUCGUAUUCCGUUAUAAUCACAACUUGGUCAUCCAUCCCCCAAGUGAUGGGCAGCUCCUCACAUUUUGAUUCUUUGUCACCACAAAAAGAGAAGAUGCUCAUGAUGAGGACUGGACCAGUUUAUGUGUGACCAUGUGAACUAGGAAAGGUGUCCCUCACCAACAUGAGUUGGCAGCAAGAGACAACUGGAACUGAUAACAGUAGCUGAGCUCAGGGAGAAAUGUGGAUGGACCUAUCCACGAGAUACAAGUCCUUUAAGGGAGUAACUUAUCCACCAGACAUGACACAUCCAUCUGUGAGGCCUCAUCGAGGGGAGAAAAAGAUGCCCUGGGUCAAGAACUGAAAGGUACCCCUUAGCCUCAUAUUUCCUAUAUUUCUUUUCUAGCUCUUUUUGCUUCAAAUUUGAACUCACUUUCCUUAGGGACUGAAUGUAUAUGCAAGGAGGAGAGCUCACUCCCCUUUCAGAGGAUUUUUAAAA